UUCCCCUCUGUUGUUCCCAGCCUGCAAACCAGGGCGAGUUUCAUAAGCUCCGAGAGCUCUCACUGCUCCGUAGGAAAAGUAGGGAAGGCUAUGACUUCCCAGGACUGUCAGAGUUAAGCCCAGGUUGUCACUCAAAAGACGUCACCGUGUUGUUCAGGUCUGUGCUGAGUAUGCAGCCAUCCCAUCAACAGGCCUGUCCUGAAGGGUGGGGGGCUGCCAAGGAGCUGGAUUCUGAGGCAGGACUGAGAAGCCAACCCCACUUCUCUUCCUAGUGUCUCCGGUGACUCUGCAGAAUUCACAUAACCUUGAAGCCAGGGUUGAAAUAUGCCGUCGCAGAGGUUCCUGGACAAAAGAAAUGACUGGCUAACUGGCCGAAGACCUCCUCGGCCCCAUAUGGUUAAGUCAGCUAGACUUUCCUGAAGCGUUUGUGCCCAUGGGCUGGCAGAUGUGAGCUGGGUCGCUCUGAUAACUCCCCCUGAAGCUGCCCCCGCUGUCCUUCCGGCUUCUUGUCUGUCUGCUCGACUCCUGAUGCUUGGAUCUGUGUCUUAUUUAUGCUUCUUAAUUUUUGGACUGUUUUUGCUACUGUAUCUUCCUAGUUUGACUCCUGACCCUUAUAAAAUGGGGUGGGGACCUGCCCUCUGAGCCUUUAUUAAUUUCAAACUUCCUGAGUUAAAUUCCCACCCCCCCCCCACAGCUACUCUUGCCGUAUUCCCCAAGAAAGACUACUAGUUAGUUGGGAUUAUUUGCAUCCUGUAGAAAUUUAAGAAUUUUCUAUUGCUCUUUUAAUAAAUUGCUACAAACUUA